AAAUUCAUGAAAAGUCGUAUUUUUUGCGAAUUUUUAAGGCGAAGUAUUUGAAAGAUAUUCAACAAACAAAGUGUCCAACCAGUCAUUUUGACUGGUGCGGUCUUUCUAGUGUUAAUUCUUUCCAUCAUCUACGAAAAUUUUUUUCGGGUAAAAAUUAUUUUCAGGUACAAAGAUGUACCAAAUUUCAUAACAUCAGUAUUGAUUAAAUCUGAGAGAAAAAAAAGCUUAAAUCUGAGAAAAAAGCUUAAAUCUAAGAGAUGUCCUCCACGCGGGUUGAGUAGGAUUGCAUGGGCCUGAUUGUAAGUUAGCUAGCCACGAUCAACCUCAAACCAGUCGCCAAGAAGCCAGCAGAACAUCGCCAGUCCCGCCACCCUAAGAGCCCGUCCCGACGCCGCAGGCUUGCACAAAACAAUACGCCACUGCGAUGCUGUUUCCGAGUGAUAUCAUUACGCUGCUGGAAAAAUUAGGGCUCGUUGCUUCAUUCACUUCUAGAUCUGUUUGUUGAAGGCGAGAAUUUAGAAACAUGUUGGGUUGAAGAUGGGCAUUCUACAACCAAGCUGAUUGGUGGCCCCAGAUGAAAGUGGUCUUAUGGCUUUUGUCAAAUGCCCUCAUGUAUAAUUUUGGCUUGGAAACUCCGGAUCCAUAAUGUUGGCACGCGCGAUUCCGGGCUCCGUAUGGCAUAUUCCAUUCGACCGCAACACUACCGGUAACAAAAUUUACGGCGUAAAGUGUUAGUGAAAAAAAUCUACCUUAUACUACAGCUUUCGUAUGCAGCUGUUUUUAUUGAAUAAAUUAACAGCAAUCAAAUAAUUACGAUCUUUCUAUUUUAAAAUAAAUAUCUGAAAAAACCAAC